AAGAUACUAGUAUAACCAGGCAAUUACACUGCCUUGUCAAGGCAGAAUCGUGGGUUAAAACCCCACGUAUCUUA
rnacentral:tRNA from 1 species